AACGCACAUUGCGCCCCUUGUUACAGAGGGGCAUGCCUGUCUGAGUGUCCUUUAAACCAUAGGCUUUUGUCUGUUUUGGGCGUCGCGACGCAGCGUCUCCUCAAAGUAAUUGCCGUCGAGCGGAUGAGAUCCAUUAGGACGAGCCCGCUUCGACUCGAAACUUUCUCUGACGGACCUCAGAUCAGGUAGGACUACCGCCUGAACUUAA
rnacentral:misc_RNA from 1 species